GAUGAACGCUAGCGGGAGGCUUAACACAUGCAAGUCGAGGGGCAUCACGAGGUAGCAAUACUUUGGUGGCGACCGGCGCACGGGUGAGUAACACGUAUGCAACCUACCCUGUACAGGGGGAUAACCCGGAGAAAUUCGGACUAAUAUCCCAUACAAUUAUUGGAGGGCAUCCUUUGAUAAUUAAAGCUCAGGCGGUAUAGGAUGGGCAUGCGGAACAUUAGCUAGUUGGUAGGGUAACGGCCUACCAAGGCUACGAUGUUUAGGGGACCUGAGAGGGUUAUCCCCCACACUGGUACUGAGACACGAACCAGACUCCUACGGGAGGCAGCAGUGAGGAAUAUUGGUCAAUGGGCGCAAGCCUGAACCAGCCAUCCCGCGUGAAGGAAGAAGGCCCUAUGGGUUGUAAACUUCUUUUCCAGGGGGUGAAUAAUUCCGAUGUAUCGGGAGAUGACGGUACCCUGGGAAUAAGCAUCGGCUAACUCCGUG
rnacentral:rRNA from 1 species